CCCCCAAGCAGAGAGACCCCAGCAGCAGCAGCAGCUGAUGAUGAAGAGAGAGGCAGUGGCAGAGGGGGGGCACCUUUUAUUUCUAUUUUUAAAGGGACAGGACACUAAUUUUACCCCACUUCAACCUUGAAUUGAGGGGGGUGGGGGGAAGGCGGCUGAGUUCCUUCCCCCACCCUCCAGCCCGGAGCCCUGAGAGGGGGAUUGAGCCUGAGAGAGAAGGAGAAGGAGUUUCUUCCUCUUCGAAAACCUCCAUCCACGACUCCUACCCCCUCACCCCUCCACUCGCUUCCCUCCCGAGCCCCCUCCACCCUCCUUCUCUUUGGCCGUGAGAGGAGGGGAGAAAGAGACCAAAAGCCUCUUAGCAACACAGACCCUUUGCUGUUGCUGCUGCUGCUGCUGUGGCUGCUGCUGUUGCUACUGCUGCUACUGCUGCUUGGCCCUGGCUGGAGACAUCUCACUACACCCAGGAGCAGCCACUUCCCCAGCUCUCCUCCUCCUCCUUCGCCUCCUCCUCCUCCACUCCCCCCCCUUUAUUACCCUUUGUGUCAUCCUCCACAGCUCCAGGGAAGGCACUCAAAAGUGGGGGGCAGGAAAGAUGAUCCUUGGAGAUGUCAUUUUCUGCAUAUAUGAAAUAGAUCUUGAAGGGUUUAUGGUUUACAGACAAAAUCUUUAGAAGUUAGACACUCAAGGAUAAUGAAUGAACAAGUGGAAUGAAUGGGACCAACAAAAUAAAUUCCAGAAACCAGGAGCACAGAAUAUUUUUCUUCAUCAAUCCAUAGAACUCUGAUACUUCUCUAAUUCCAUCAAUCACAGGAAUGACCCCCUUGGCAGAUGGCCGCAGAGGAUGUCAACAAUUUUUUGGAGGCAAGCAAUGAACUAUUUGUGCCAUUGGUUUUCUGUUAUUAAUUAUAUGAGAACAAGUAGAAUUACCUUGUGUUU